rnacentral:misc_RNA from 1 species
UGUGGGAGCGGGCUUGCUCGCGAAUGCGGUAUUUCAGUCAACCUUUCUGUGACUGACCCACCGCUUUCGCGAGCAAGCCCGCUCCCACA